GAUGAACGCUGGCGGUAUGCUUAACACAUGCAAGUCGAACGGGGUACUUUCGGGUACCUAGUGGCGGACGGGUGAGUAACACGUGAGAAUCUACCUUCAGGUUGGGGACAACAGCUGGAAACGGCUGCUAAUACCCAAUGUGCCGAGAGGUGAAAGGCUUGCUGCCUGAAGAAGAGCUCGCGACUGAUUAGCUAGUUGGUGGGGUAAGGGCCUACCAAGGCGACGAUCAGUAGCUGGUCUGAGAGGAUGAUCAGCCACACUGGGACUGAGACACGGC
rnacentral:rRNA from 1 species